GUUUGAUGUCGGUGAUGAGGCUAAAAAAUAACUAUUAUUUGUGACACACGCAUGUUUACCAGAGUGGGUACAAAUCACUACUUCUCUGGUGGGUGGUUUGAUCAAAUAGAGUUCUUUGCCUCCUCGGCCUAUUCAACGAUCGCCACCGGAUGAUGCCACAAAGCAGCACAGAGCGUAUUGGCGCAUGUUCUGUGCAAUGGAAAGGAUCUUGGAACAAAUGAAACAAACGUCUGGAUGAUCAAUGAAGAAGCAAUGUACAUGGGCUCAGAUACAUAUCAUCAUCUGAAGUGAUAUGUUAGGAUAUCAUAUGGGAAAAGUAUGGCUGCAGACAGUUGCAAAAUUGGUGAUGAUGGUGGAUAUAUUUGCUCCAAAUAUUUCCAGGAAAGUAAGGAAUUGAUUUUACCUUUUUCUCGUGCGGUUUCGUUCUUACUUUCCGCUUGGGGAACCCACAUAUGGAUUUCAACACAAUCGAUGUCGGAUUAAUGUUCAGUACGACUGAAGCCUGGAUUUUUCAUUGCCACUAUAGAUAGACCUGGAUAUGAUGGAAGGAUCAAAUUCACAGUUGAUGUCUUGUUGUUGGGUAUAUGUCAGUGUGUAUGUUGGUGCAACAGUGCAGUAAAUGUUUCCACUUCACUAGUGCUGUUAUGUUAUUACACAACUAGAAACUGUCCUUU